AAGUAAGCGAUGAAAAGAUAAGUACAGAACAGCAAGUCAUCUCAGAGAGCUCCUACAUGGUGGAAAGGAGCAUGACAGUCUGCCUGGAAAAUGGUCUUUGAGCUGGAUAGGUGAGUGGAAACAUAAGCCUAUCCCGGUUGCACCCGGUAACGUGCCUAAGUAUGCAGAUGAACUGUCAGCGGCUGACGUAUUUUCAAUAAAAUCGUCAGUCCGCAAACAGAACGAUCUAAGUACUGGAAGAGGCCACUUCAGUGAUGGAGUGGUAAACAAAGGUGGAACCGCGAAUAGACCUAUUCGCCCUUUUU
rnacentral:ncRNA from 1 species